rnacentral:rRNA from 1 species
CCUACGGGUGGCAGCAGUAGGGAAUAUUGCUCAAUGGGGGAAACCCUGAAGCAGCAACGUCGCGUGGAGGAUGAAGGUUUUAUGAUUUUUAACUCCUUUUGUUAGAGAAGAUUAUGGCGGUAUGUAACGAAUAAGCACUGGCUAACGCCGGACCAGCAGCCGCGGAAAUCCGGCCGGUGCAAGCGUUACUCGGAAUCAUUGGGGGUAAAGCGGGAGUUGGCGGGGUAAUAAGUCAGGUGGGAAAACUUGGAGGUUAAAUGCAGUACUGCAGUUGAAAAUGUUAGUCUGGAGUGGGCGAGAGGUAGGUGGAAUGCUUGGUGUAGGGGUGAAAUGCGUAGAGAUCAAGAAGAAUACUGAUUGCGAAGGCGACAUGCUGGAACAUUACUGACGCUGAUGCACGAAAGCGUGGGGAUCGAACAGGAUUAGAUACCCGUGUAGUC